rnacentral:rRNA from 1 species
AGCCAUGCGAGUCGAGAGGUGCAAGACCUCGGCAUACUGCUCAGUAACACGUGGACAAUCUAACCUAUGGAGGGGGAUAACCCCGGGAAACUGGGGAUAAUACCCCAUAGACUAUGGAUGCUGGAAUGCUCUGUAGUUGAAAGGUCCGCCGCCAUAGGAUGGGUCUGCGGCCGAUUAGGUUGUUGUUGGGGUAACGGCCCAACAAGCCUGUAAUCGGUCCGGGUUGUGGGAGCAAGAGCCCGGAGAUGGAUUCUGAGACACGAAUCCAGGCCCUACGGGGCGCAGCAGGCGCGAAAACUUUACAAUGCGGGAAACCGUGAUAAGGGAACUCCGAGUGCCCGUAAAAUCGGGCUGUCCAUCGGUUUAAAUAACCGGUGAAGAAAGGGCCGGGCAAGACCGGUGCCAGCCGCCGCGGUAAUACCGGCGGCUCGAGUGGUGGCCACUAUUACUGGGCUUAAAGCGUUCGUAGCUGGUUUGUUAAGUCUCUGGGGAAAUCUGCCGGCUCAACCGGCAGGCGUUCCAGGGAUACUGGCAGACUAGGGACCGGGAGAGGUGAGGGGUACUCCAGGGGUAGGAGUGAAAUCCUGUAAUCCUUGGGGGACCACCUGUGGCGAAGGCGCCUCACCAGAACGGCUCCGACAGUGAGGGACGAAAGCUGGGGGAGCAAACCGGAUUAGAUACCCGGGUAGUCCCAGCCGUAAACGAUGCGCGUUAGGUGUAUCGGUGACCACGAGUCACCGAGGUGCCGAAGAGAAAUCGUGAAACGUGCCGCCUGGGAAGUACGGUCGCAAGGCUGAAACUUAAAGGAAUUGGCGGGGGAGCACCACAACAGGUGGAGCCUACGGUUUAAUUGGAUUCAACGCCGGGAAG